AAGAGAGGAGAGAGAGACAGCACCGAAUGAAGACUGUAAAAGAAAAGAAGGAAUGCCAAAGAUUGAGAUCUUAUCUAGUAAGCUGCCUCAGAGGGGCCAGUCCAACAGAGGUUUCCAUGGAUUCCUGCCUGAAGACAUCAAAAAGGAGGCAGCCCGGGCUUCUAGGAAGAUCUGCUUUGUGUGCAAGAAAAAGGGAGCUGCUAUCAACUGCCAGAAGGAUCAGUGCCUCAGAAACUUCCAUCUGCCUUGUGGCCAAGAAAGGGGUUGCCUUUCACAAUUUUUUGGAGAGUACAAAUCAUUUUGUGACAAACAUCGCCCAACACAGAACAUCCAACAUGGGAAUGUGGGGGAGGAAAGCUGCAUCUUAUGUUGUGAAGACUUAUCCCA
rnacentral:sRNA from 1 species